rnacentral:rRNA from 1 species
GUUGUAUAGUCAAGUAAUUAAGUGCAUGUGGUGGAUGCCUUGGCAGUCAGAGGCGAUGAAAGACGUGAUAGCCUGCGAAAAGCUCCGGGGAGGCGGCAAAUAUCCUUUGAUCCGGAGAUGUCUGAAUGGGGGAACCCACCUACUUUAAGGUAGGUAUUGCAACAUGAAUACAUAGUGUUGCAAGGCGAACGAGGGGAAGUGAAACAUCUCAGUACCCUUAGGAAAAGAAAUCAAUUGAGAUUCCCUCAGUAGCGGCGAGCGAACGGGGAUCAGCCCAUUAAGUUAUGUGUGUUUUAGUGGAACGCUCUGGGAAGUGCGAACGUAGAGGGUGAUAUUCCCGUACACGAAAGGGCACACAUAAUGAUGACGAGUAGGGCGAGGCACGUGAAACCUUGUCUGAAUAUGGGGGGACCAUCCUCCAAGGCUAAAUACUCCUGACUGACCGAUAGUGAACCAGUACCGUGAGGGAAAGGCGAAAAGAACCCCUGUGAGGGGAGUGAAAUAGAUCCUGAAACCGCAUGCAUACAAGCAGUGGGAGCACCUUCGUGGUGUGACUGCGUACCUUUUGUAUAAUGGGUCAGCGACUUAUAUUCAGUAGCAAGGUUAACCGUAUAGGGGAGCCGUAGAGAAAUCGAGUCUUAAUAGGGCGUUUAGUUGCUGGGUAUAGACCCGAAACCAGGCGAUCUAUCCAUGAGCAGGUUGAAGGUUGGGUAACACUAACUGGAGGACCGAACCCACUGUCGUUGAAAAGCCAGGGGAUGACUUGUGGAUAGGGGUGAAAGGCUAAUCAAGCCUGGUGAUAGCUGGUUCUCCCCGAAAGCUAUUUAGGUAGCGCCUCGGACGAAUACCAUAGGGGGUAGAGCACUGUUUCGGCUAGGGGGUCAUCCCGACUUACCAAACCGAUGCAAACUCCGAAUACCUAUGAGUACUAUCCGGGAGACAGACUGCGGGUGCUAACGUCCGUAGUCAAGAGGAAAACAAUCCAGACCGCCAGCUAAGGCCCCAAAAUCAUAGUUAAGUGGGAAACGAUGUGGGAAGGCAUAGACAGCUAGGAGGUUGGCUUAGAAGCAGCCACCCUUUAAAGAAAGCGUAAUAGCUCACUAGUCGAGUCGGCCUGCGCGGAAGAUGUAACGGGGCUAAAACUAUGUGCCGAAGCUGCGGAGUAUGCUGGAGGUAUCAGAAGUGCGAAUGCUGACGUGAGUAACGACAAAACGGGUGAAAAACCCGUUCGCCGAAAGACCAAGGGUUCCAGUCCAACGUUAAUCGGGGCUGGGUGAGUCGACCCCUAAGGCGAGGCCGAAAGGCGUAGUCGAUGGGAAAAUGGUUAAUAUUCCAUUACUUCUGUGUAAUGCGAUGAGAGGACGGAGAAGGCUAAAUCAGCCUGGCGUUGGUUGUCCAGGUGAAAGGAUGUAGGCAUGUAUCUUAGGCAAAUCCGGGGUACUCUAUGCUGAGAUCUGAUAGCAAGCUGUACUUGUACAGCGAAGUGGUUGAUGCCAUGCUUCCAGGAAAAGUCUCUAAGCUUCAGUUACACAGGAAUCGUACCCGAAACCGACACAGGUGGUCAGGUCGAGUAGACCAAGGCGCUUGAGAGAACUCUGCUGAAGGAACUAGGCAAAAUGGUACCGUAACUUCGGGAGAAGGUACGCUGUUGUUGGUGAUGGAACUCGCUUCCUGAGCUGACGACAGCCGCAGAAACCAGGCCGCUGCAACUGUUUAUUAAAAACAUAGCACUCUGCAAACACGAAAGUGGACGUAUAGGGUGUGAUGCCUGCCCGGUGCUGGAAGGUUAAUUGAUGGGGUUAGCGUAAGCGAAGCUCUUGAUCGAAGCCCCAGUAAACGGCGGCCGUAACUAUAACGGUCCUAAGGUAGCGAAAUUCCUUGUCGGGUAAGUUCCGACCUGCACGAAUGGCAUAAUGAUGGCGGCGCUGUCUCCAGCAGAGGCUCAGUGAAAUCGAAAUCGCUGUGAAGAUGCAGUGUACCCGCGGCUAGACGGAAAGACCCCGUGAACCUUUACUGCAGCUUGACACUGAACUUUGACCUUACUUGUGUAGGAUAGGUGGGAGGCUUUGAAGCUGGAACGCUAGUUCCAGUGGAGCCGUCCUUGAAAUACCACCCUGGUAAUGUUGAGGUUCUAACUCUGUCCCGUGAUCCGGGACGAGGACCGUGUCUGGUGGGUAGUUUGACUGGGGCGGUCUCCUCCUAAAGAGUAACGGAGGAGUACGAAGGUGCGCUCAGCGUGGUCGGAAAUCACGCGUAGAGUAUAAAGGCAAAAGCGCGCUUAACUGCGAGACCCACAAGUCGAGCAGGUACGAAAGUAGGUCUUAGUGAUCCGGUGGUUCUGUAUGGAAGGGCCAUCGCUCAACGGAUAAAAGGUACUCUGGGGAUAACAGGCUGAUACCGCCCAAGAGUUCAUAUCGACGGCGGUGUUUGGCACCUCGAUGUCGGCUCAUCUCAUCCUGGGGCUGAAGCAGGUCCCAAGGGUAUGGCUGUUCGCCAUUUAAAGAGGUACGCGAGCUGGGUUUAGAACGUCGUGAGACAGUUCGGUCCCUAUCUACCGUGGGCGCUGGAAAUUUGAGAGGAUCUGCUCCUAGUACGAGAGGACCAGAGUGGACGAACCUCUGGUGUACCGGUUGUGACGCCAGUCGCAUCGCCGGGUAGCUAUGUUCGGAAGGGAUAACCGCUGAAAGCAUCUAAGCGGGAAGCCUACCUCAAGAUAAGAUUUCCCUAGGACUUUAUGUCCUCUAAAGAGCCGUUCGAGACUAGGACGUUGAUAGGUUGGAUGUGGAAGCAUAGUGAUAUGUGAAGCUGACCAAUACUAAUUGCUCGUGAGGCUUGACUAUACAACACCCAAGCAGUUG